AUUGUCUAGUUUUCUAAAUGUUUAGUUUUCUUAUUGUCUAUUUUUCUAAAUGCCUAGUUUUCUAAAAGUCUAGUUUACUAAAUGUCUAUUUUUCUAAAUGUUUAAAUUUCUAAAUGGCUGGUUUUCUUAAAUGUCUAUUUUUGUAAUUGUCUUUUUUACCAAUUGACAUCAUUUUACUUUAGGUCAGCGGUCCUAUCUAGCGGGCCUAGCCUAUUCUUUCUCUAAAGCUGAAGAAAGUUCUCCUUAUUGUGCCGGAGCUCUGAUAUCAAAUCAAUGGAUUCUUACAUCAGCUUCAUGUUCAGUUUCAAAUAUUAAUAGAAUAGGCGUGAAUAAGGUGAACGUAAUACUGGGGGAAGAUACUUUAGGGUUAGCUUCUUCUAAUUAUAAGGUCAAGAUGAUCUUCAUAAUUGUAUAAGUCAGAGACUGCGAUUUGAAAGCUACGGCCCGGGUCUUAAUUCCUUGAACCGAAGGCCUGCGAUUAAAAAAAUCGGGAAAAGACGACUAAGGUCUAACCGUCUUAGCUGUUGUUGAGCCUUAUUUACGGUUUGGGCUUUUGAAUUUAAGUUGAAUUUAAUUUCCAUACAGUUGAGCUCAUAAAAACGGUUUACAAUUGUAUUUCCGGAUUUUCAUAUUUGGAAUUGGCGCAUUCAGGGUUUAGAUGAGAACAGUGCAGUGUCCGAAUUUAACGAAUUUAAGCGGCGUCUCAAAUCAAACAAAAAUCGGUUUCAAUCUUGAAAAAUUGAGUAUAAUAUUAAGUGGAACCAACGAUAUUUGAGUCGCGGUUUAAAUUUAGGCCCCGGCUCAAAUUCUUUAAUUUCGGGCUCAAGUCUCUAUAUUGAGCUAGCCUUAAUCUCCACUAAAACCAACCAAGGUCGGUUUUAUUUUGAUUGGGUUUAACUCCUUAAGUCGAGCCUAAGAUCUCGGAGCUGUCAAUCACGUGACACAAGCUGUCGUCAGAGUAGGGUCUUAGAUUGGGGUUUAAAGCUCGGUUUAAGGAAUUUUGACCUGAGCCUAAAGCUUUUAAAUCGCGGGCUCGGGUUUAAGGCUCAACCUUAGCAAAAUGAAUAAAGUGGAGCAGACUAAAUAAAGACGAUUUUAUUUGGGCCAUACACAAUUAUUUGGUUUGGUAAAAUUGUCAAAUAAUUGUUUCGUGGUCCAAUUUAUGAUGAAAGGACUAGAAUUAGUUUACAACUUUUAAUGUCGUCGUUGAAAAAACUUGCAAUUUAUCGGAUCUAAAAAGCUCUCAUCACACAUAAUUACGAUAUGCACUUAAGUUUCGUUUUUGGUUACGGAUAUUACCAUAAUGCAUUUAACGGGCAUAUCGCACUAAUAUUUACUGGGAACUAUUUAUUUGAACUCUUUGUGGUUUCGUGUUUUAACAUUAACUUCGUAGUUUGGUUCUAGUGUAAAGUUUGUAACCAAAUGAAGUUCAGAUUAUUUAGUACUGUACACCUAGUACAAACAGAUUAUAACGGCCCCGCAAUAUUUUACUAAAAUGCUUGGGACAUAAAAAGUCGUCAUCCUCUGCGCAAUCUUAGACCCAACUCUGACGGCAACUGAGCUGAGAUUAAAUAGAGUAAAACCCGGUCUUUGUAUCUGCUUAGAACCAAGUAAAGGUCAAGUCAAGGCCCGGGUUUUGGAUGACCUUGAGAUUAGUAAAAACCAACUGCCAAGGGUUUUUUGCUCUUUAAGGCUCAGGUCUUCAACAGCUGAUGAUCGCCAAUUCCUACCAUGAAAAUCCGACAAACACAAUGUUAAACCACUUUAAUAAACCCAACCUUGUGGAAAAUUAGUUGCAACUGAAAUCACGACGCUCGAGUUGUAAAUUAGUCUCAAUGAAACCUGAUCGAGUCUAGUCUUAUUUUCCCCAAUUUUUUAAAUCUCAGGCUCGGAGCUGAGAAUUAUUUUGGAUACCAUUGAUCCCGUGUCCGAAUUUAAGGAAUUUGAGCCGUGUCUUAAAUCCUCCAAAAACCGGUUUCAAUUAAGCACCUGCUUAA
rnacentral:lncRNA from 1 species